AAUUAAGAUAAUGGUAAACGAAAUGUUUAUUCCAUCUUUCAUGCUAUGCUAUGAUGUUCAUUCCAUCGUUUAUCAAAAUAAAACUUGUUUCUGGAAUAAAAAGGGUUGAAAAUUAAUCUAGAUUUUUACCAAUUUCAUGGGAUGAAUCAUUUGCUUCAUAUUUAGAUUAUACCAAAUCUGAAAUUUUCUUUCUACUCUUCAUCCUCAGUUGCAGUCCGGUUUGAUUUUUGAAUUAAUUAAAAUACGCUUCUUUUGAGACCCAGGUUGACAUACUUUUAAGUUGUUGUUGUUUUUUUUUGGCAAUAUUAGGGAUUUUACCCCAAAUGCUAAAGAUUUGAACACAAAUUUCUUUACAACUUGACGUGAUAGUGAAAACUGAGUUGCAUACUUGAAAUCAAAAUAAGAAAUGAUGUACAAAAAGAAAUUGUUUGCUCGGCACCAGAAAAUUUUUUUUUUGUUGACCUGUGUAAUUAUAUUAUAUUUCGUUUUGAAAAACAUUUGAUAUUAUUUUUAUAUUUAUAAUGCAUUUAUAUAUAUUUUUUUUCUAUAUUUGAAAAUUCUAUAAUUUGUGCAUAGAAAUUCAAAAUGGGUCUCAAUUUAUUAAAUCUAAUUUCUGGUCUCCUUCAUCAUCAUCUGUAUUUAAAUAAUCAUCUAAAAGCUUAUGUUUGUAAAUUGUGUGUGUUUCUGUAAAAGUGUGAUUUUAAAAAUUUACUGAAUGAAAUUAUGUUAUAUAUACAAAUACAUUGUGUAAAUUGAUAACCAAACUGCACUACUAUCAUUUAUACUAACACUAAUGCUUGCUAGAACAUUGCAAGUGGACCAAUUAUCACCUGGUUUUGUUAUCCACCGUGUUGGAGUGAAUGAUUGUCGGCAAGCCAUAUUAUUAGAAGAGAUCAAACAGGAUUUUAUCAAACAUUAGUUUAUUGUCACCUUACCAAUAUUUGAUUUUACUUAGAUGCGAUUCGACGCAAUCCGUCAACAUGCCGUGGUACGGAUGCCGAUGUUUGAGUGUAAUUAAAGAAUGGUUUCGCUUUGCAAAAGAUCGUAAUGGAGGGAGGAAGAGAAGAGUAAAAACGUUGUAAAACCUUUUACUAGAAAUAUUUAAAUUUAUUAGAACUUUAUUACUUAAAACGUAGCGUCAACCUGUAAAACUUAUUAUGAUAACAAUGUUGGUUUAAUGAGAAUCAAA